UCUUUCUUCUUUUUUUUUCUCUUUCUUUCCUUUCCUUGCUGCGAAACCGGAACCCAUUUCCGGCGAAAUCACCGCCACCGUCCGCACCACCGGCCAUUAGAGGAUCCUCUCUUCCUCCUCUUGCAUCUAAGCUUGUUUUGAUCUAUGGAGGAAGAUUUGAAGGUGUUUGAGCGUGUGAACAGUAACGUGAACAGUAACUGUCGGGUUCUUGGUUUUUGUUUGAUUUCUCCGGCCUUUUCUGCUUGAUUUUGGUUGUUGUUGCAGGACGGAUUGAUCCCUUGAGCGAGGGGAUACGGGUAGGCAGCAGGAUUAGCUGCGAGACUCACCUUUUGCAGGCGAAUGAGUUGAGGUCGGGCGUACACGAAAUUGAGGCAUAGUCAGCAGCAUGGCUUCCGCAUCUGCCUUUGAAUUAGGGUGGCUCCAGGGGCAUAAGGAUGAUUCGAUUGAGAAGUGUAAAUGUUCCCUACAGGUUUGGGUUGCCCAUUUUAGGGGAAGUUCCGCCAAAUUUUUGGUAGAAUUUCUUCUAAGGUGGGCCCCGCAGGGUCACUUCGGAUUUCAGGGUGAAAUCCGGGGCGGGUCCUGUCA